rnacentral:rRNA from 1 species
UCUGACCCCAUCCGUGCCGGAGUUAACACAAUAAGUAAUCCACCUGGGGAGUACGACCGCAAGGUUGAAACUCAAAGGAAUUGACGGGGGCCCGCACAAGCAGUGGAGUAUGUGGUUUAAUUCGAAGCAACGCGAAGAACCUUACCAGGUCUUGACAUCCAACUAACGAAGCAGAGAUGCAUUAGGUGCCCUUCGGGGAAAGUUGAGACAGGUGGUGCAUGGUUGUCGUCAGCUCGUGUCGUGAGAUGUUGGGUUAAGUCCCGCAACGAGCGCAACCCUUACUGUUAGUUGCUACGCAAGAGCACUCUAGCAGGACUGCCGUUGACAAAACGGAGGAAGGUGGGGACGACGUCAAAUCAUCAUGCCCCUUAUGACCUGGGCUACACACGUACUACAAUGGCCGUUAACAGAGAGAAGCGAUACCGCGAGGUGGAGCGAACCUCAAAAAGCGGUCUCAGUUCGGAUUGCAGGCUGAAACCCGCCUGCAUGAAGUUGGAAUUGCUAGUAAUCGCGGAUCAUAAUGCCGCGGUGAAUACGUUCCCGGGCCUUGUACACACCGCCCGUCACACCAUGGGAGCCGGUAAUACCCGAAGUCAGUAGUCUAACCGCAAGGAGGACGCUGCCGAAGGUAGGAUUGGCGACUGGGGUGAAGUCGUAACAAGGUAGCCGUAUCAGAAGGUGCGGCUG